UCAAAUAUAUAAGAAUUAAUAUUUUAAUUUUGAAAUAAAUAUAGAUGAAUAUAUUUAAGAUCAAUUGUGAAACCCGAUAGAGUAAAUUAAGAACACAACCCAAUAAAGGAACUUUAACUUAAAAUUAGUAAGUGUUCUUAAAUAUUGGUAAUUAUAGGCCCCACAAAAAGUAACUUUAACUAAAGCAUAAACAUAGUUUUUAACUUUCCUACAUAAAGAGGUAACUUCCACUCAUCCACUUAAGACUUCACAUUAAUACAAGUGAGUACAUAUUUUUGGUACUCAAACUACAUAAUACUUUAUUAAACAUACACCCUUCUUAGCUACAGAAGACCUCGAUUUAAAUAAACUCGCAUGUCUUCGAGUUUUUUGUACAUAUAUAAACCAUAAUUAACAUCAAACAUAGACCAAGUUAAAUUUGAAGGCAAAGUUCUUAAAAUUUAAUGAAUCUACCCCAACGAUUUUGGGGUAAUUUUCCCUUAGGGUAACUUACAGCCGAUAUCCCAACAAAGUGAAUAGUUGCAUCCUUGGUAGUCCCAAUAAUAAGGUCUUCUUUAUUGCUUCUUCUUGUUGGACCAUAGAAUUUGUCUAUUAGGUCAAACCCUUCUAACCCAAUCUUCCUUAGGUCAGCUGAAGGAGGUGCCAUUGAUUCUAAUUAAAAUGGGGGGGUGUAUAUAGCAAAUGCUUCUAUUCUAUCAAAUGUGUUUAUAUUGAGUGAUGAUUGAUGUUGUGCCUC
rnacentral:lncRNA from 1 species